UUUUUCAUCAAACAUGUAAGAUAUUAAGAUUAAUACUUAAGAUAAUAAGAGAAAAAUUUAAAUUAGUAUUAAUUAAAACUUAAUUUAUCAAUAAAUAAUUAAAUUGAUUACAAAUUAUAUCAUUUGUAUGAUUAUACGAUGGGUUGGAUCACUGUGUUGUCGGUUAAAAGAUUACAUAUUUUUUUUCCAUCAAACAUAUAGUAAAAUUAAAUAUUUUUAUUGAAAAUUAAAUGAUUCUUUUUAAAAUACAAAAUAAACAGGUUCGUCUAAAAACUAGCAAUUUCCUAAAUUUGAAAAUGCCGAAAACACAAUAAAUAAGUCUACACUUGCAUGGGGUCUCAUAUUAUUGAUGUGAAAUAUUUGCAUGGGGCCUUACAUUAUGGACCCCCUAUUUUUAAACAAUAGCAUAUAUAUAUAUAUAUAGGUAUAAAGUAGUAUAAUCGAAAAAUUAGUUUAUAAAUAUAAUAAUAAACUAUUAAGUAAGUUUCAUAUUAUUAUGAUUUAGAUAUAAAAAAAAUAGUUGUGAAGUUAAAGCAAACAAAAUAUCAGUUUAUUUUUAAAAUAUUAUAAUAUCUUUUAAAAACAUAACCUAUUUUGUUUGUAUUGAUAUUUUUAUUUUACAAUAACUUAACUUUUUCUGUAAUUAUUUAGUAUAUCAUUUUCUAUAUUAUAAACUAUAAUUAUUUAAAUAAGAGUUUCGUAAAAUUUAUUAAAAAAAUUGAUUAAUAUGAAUAAUUUUAUUUUGAUAGGCCCUUAUAAUCAAAAUUGAUUAAUAUGAAUAAUUUUAUUUUGAUAGGCCCUUAUAAUCACCGGACAGGCUCUUACUGUUAGUUAUCUAGUUCUUAAACCACCUCCAUCGGUAGCAUCUAGAGGAGGUCCUGAUAUAUUAAAGAGAAAAAAUUAAAAUUAAAUGAAUUUAUUAAGCUGAACCGCUCCUUAAUUGAGUGAUUAUAGGAGUGUAAAGAACUCCUACGUGGCAUAUUCGUAUUGGUUGAUUCUUUUUCUACGAAAGGAAAAAACGCGUGGCCUUUUCUCUCUAUUGUUGUCUCGGCUGUGCUCUCUUCGAUGUCAUCGAAGAAUCAGAGAUGCUUUUCUGAUGAAAUCUCCAAAGCUUGAUGAUGGCUCGGUCUCUCCGUCUCUCCUCUUCGUGAUUUAACGCCGACGACGACAAAGAGGAGACAGCAGUGGAGUAACGCGCCGAAUCCGAUACCAACGAUGUCCCAGCCCCGAAAAUCCGAUACCGACGACGUCGUGGCUCCUCCUCUCGUCCAUCCUCAAGUUCCUCUCGAUCAACGACUCCAAGCUCUGCAAGUCCUUAGCCAACUCGCUGUGACUCCUCACCAUCUCCUCCAUCGAUUUUAUCCGCACCGAGUCGCUGAUCUUCCACCGGUGCCUUCGAUAUCUCGUCUGUCUCUUCCAACUUAGAGGUAGUGACUCUCGGAACCGAUUGAUUCAACUCGACAACUCCUCUGACAACUUUGAGGUUUAUGGUUGUCGAAUCCGAUGAUUUUGGUGUUGUAAUUAACCAAGUGUGAGGAAGGCUAACACUGAAGAAGCAGAAGGGAAGGUGUGUGUGGACCUUGAGAACAUGUGGGACAUGAGGCAAAAGGACUUUGCAUUGAGAGAGAAGGUUAACAAUCAAAAUUGCUUCAGAUGCUACUUGGCAAGACUGAGCCAUUAACUGAACCAGAGCAAGCUUUGAAAAACAAGCUGAUCAAUGAUCUGUUGGUUUGAGGGCGUGUAUGAUGUUGUUUCUGAUCGAUCUUGUACGGUAUUGUGUCUGAGUUUGUAUUGAGUUGUGUCUGAGUUUCUAUGAUGUUGUCUCUAAGUUUGUAUGAUAUUGUUUCUGAUAUUGUCGAGUCUGUGAUAUGCAUGUCGAGUCUGUAUGAUAUUGUGUCUCAUAUUAUGUCUGAGUUUGAGUUCUCGAGUCUGUAUAAUAUUGGGUUUCAAUGUAUAAUAUUGGUUUCUAUUUUAUGAUAUUGAAUUUCAAUGUAUAAUAUUGAGUUUCAGUUCUCGUGACACAAACAACAAAAGAAAUAAAGUGAGUGGCAUGUGACGUUUGUUGUGUAACUGAUCUAUACAUGUGAAUUUUGCAGGUUGAUGGUUGAGAGAGAUGCAUGUGACACAAGCAAACAAGAAAAGGAAAAGAAACAGCAGGGAAGCAUGUGACACAAACAAACAACUUUCAAAUGUCGUAGCAUGUGAAUCCUAAAGUUCCAUACGUUUCAUAUUCUUCCUUUAUAAUGUAGUAGCAUGUUUAGAAAAUUGUAUUCUCCAAAUUGUGCCUAACGGUUUCUUUCUCUCUUUUUUUGCUGCAUUGUAAGAUUCAAAUUGUGCCAAACGUUUUCUCUCGUUUCAUAUUCUCUCAAACUAUUUCUCUUUUAUCAUCUCUUUCUUACCAUUUCACUUUCAAAUGUCUUCUUCUUCUUCUUCUUCACACAAUUUUGAAGAUAUUUCGGAUGAAGCAUUUGAUCAACUUUGGGACGAACAAUUCGAGCAACUUUACACUCACCAUGAAAAUCGUCAAGCAGCUGCAAAGUCCAAAAAAAAAAGAGCUUACAUUGAAAGACAACGCGAACAAGGACACAUGCAGUUGUGGAACGAUUAUUUUAGUGAAGAUGCAGCAUAUCCUUCUCACAUGUUUCGACGCCGUUUUAGAAUGAACAAGCCUUUGUUCAUGCGAAUUGUUGAUCGACUCUCCGCUGAAAUUUCAUACUUUCAACAAAGAAGAGAUGCUACUGGAAGGUUCGGUCACUCUCCAUUACAAAAGGCAACAACAGCAAUUCGUAUGAUGGCAUAUGGUUGCCCAGCUGAUGCAGUCGACGAAUACCUCCGACUUGGUGAGACCACCGCGCUUUUAUGCUUGGAACAUUUUGUACAAGGAAUCAUAGAUUUAUUUGGAGAAGAAUAUCUAAGAAGACCCACACCAGAAGAUCUUCAACGACUCCUUGAUACUGGAGAGGAGCGCGGAUUUCCCGGGAUGAUAGGAAGCAUCGAUUGUAUGCAUUGGGAGUGGAAGAAUUGUCCGACCGCUUGGAAAGGUCAAUAUACACGUGGAUCAGGAAAACCAACUAUUGUUUUAGAGGCUGUAUCUUCAGAAGAUCUUUGGAUAUGACAUGCGUUUUUCGGACCUCCAGAUGGUAUUUAUCCAAAUUGGGCUACUUUUGUCCAAUCUAUUCGAGAACCGCAAGGUCCAAAAGCAUCCUUAUUUGCUACAAAGCAAGAAGCUGUUCGUAAAGAUGUCGAGCGUGCUUUUGGGGUCUUGCAAGCUCGAUUUGCCAUUGUCAAAAAUCCAGCUCUUUUGUGGGAUAAAAUAAAAAUUGGAAAGAUAAUGAGAGCAUGUAUCAUUCUUCAUAAUAUGAUCGUGGAAGAUGAACGAGACAAGUACACUCUUACUGAUGUAUCAGUUUUCGAACAACCGAAAUCAAGCCGAAGUUCACAUGUCGAUUUAAACUUUUCAACACAGAUGCCUACAAAUCUCCAUAAUGUUAUGGGCAUGCUGACUAUUCGGAAUGAAGUCCGUGAUAACCAAAUACAUCAACGACUGAAAGCUGAUUUGGUUGAGAAUAUAUGGCAAAAGUUUGGAACUCCUCAAGAUUUCAACUAAUCGUUUUUUCUCGUUCACGAUUUGUAUUUGUAUUAUUAAUAUGUUUUGUAUAAUAUUUAUUAACACUUUUAUGUAUGCUUUUAUUUUAAAUC